ACGUAGGGGGCGAGCGUUGUCCGGAAUGACUGGGCGUAAAGGGCGCGUAGACGGUUGUCUAAGUCUGGAGUGAAAGUCCUGCUUUCAAGGUGGGAAUUGCUUUGGAGACUGAAUGACUUGAGUGCGGAAGAGGUAAGUGGAAUUCCCAGUGUAGCGUUGAAAUGCGUAGAGAUUGGUAAAAACACCAGUGGCGAAGGCGACUUACUGAGCCGUAACUGACGUUGAUGCGCGAAAGCGUUGGGAGCGAACAG
rnacentral:rRNA from 1 species